AUGGACAAAUCAGAUGAGAUCAUCAUGCCGGGGUUCCGGUUCCAUCCUACCGAUGAAGAGCUCGUUAGUUUCUACCUCAAGAAGAAGAUCCAGCAAAAGCCUAUCUCUAUUGAGCUCAUCAGGCAGCUGGACAUCUACAAGUUUGACCCGUGGGACCUCCCAAAGCUUGCGAGCACCGGUGAGACGGACUGGUACUUCUACUGCCCAAGGGACCGGAAAUAUCGCAACAGCGCGAGGCCAAACCGAGUCACAGCAGCUGGGUUCUGGAAAGCCACAGGGACAGACAGGCCGAUCUACUCCUCCGAGGGCACGAGGUGCAUAGGCCUGAAGAAGUCCCUUGUCUUCUACAGAGGCAGAGCAGCAAGAGGGAUCAAAACCGACUAGAUGAUGCAUGAGUUCAGGCUUCCUUCACUAACCGAUCCAUCACUUCCCAAGAGACCGAUCGACAAGAACAUCCCGCUCAAUGACUGUUGGACCAUAUGUAAGAUCUUCAAGAAGACCAGUUCGAUGGCACAACAAAUGGCGUUGUCCCACACUUGGGGGCCUCCACUACCUGAGACAACUGAGCAAGAUCUCUUCUCCGCAAUGCAACCGAUGCAAGCUUCAAAUUUUGCUUCACAGAGCUCCUUCUGCUCAUCGCAAGUUGCAGAGGCACCAGCAAGUCAGUUCAACAGCAAACAUGGGUUCCAGGGACAACAACAGCUUCAGAAACCCAGCAACACAUAGGAUGGCUCUUCAUGCAAGGUCAUAAGCUUUAACUGCAAUCCCACCAUCUUGCCAUUCCAAACACAGCCAUCACAGAAGCCCGAGCACACUGCACCGCCGCUCUUCAACAUGCAGUUUGGGCAGCCUGAGCAGCAGAUCACUGGAUUUCUGGCUGAUUCUUCUGCAGAUGUAAUGGGCAUGAGCAGCAGGAACCAAGAUUCAUCCACAAUGAAGCAUGGCAAUACUUUCAGUAUGAACAAUGAGUUGGACGCUCCGGGGAGACUCAACUUCCCAUUCGAUUUAGGAGCAGACUCUUCAGAUGACUGGAAGUGCAACAUACCUUGGGAAUCCUUUCUUAGCCCAACUGUCCUUGCUGAAAUGCCACAGUACUAG
rnacentral:rRNA from 1 species